CUGGGGGACUGUGUACUCCCUACAGGCCCCAGAACUUAGAAGGUGCUCCAUGAAUAAUUAUUGAUUUAUUGACCUGAGAUUGAAAUGGAGACUUGGGUUGUGGAAAAACGGCAAAGACAGCAGGAGAGAGGAGGGCCUGAGAGUGUAGGUGGAAAACUGUUAGAAGUUAAAAUUGGAAGAAAAUGAAAUGAUUGUUGGAGGCCACAGCAUAAUCAAGGACAGAUGUAUGUCUUCUCCGCCAAACACUGUAGGAUGUCUGUGUUGGGACUUCCUUCUGAAACUUGGACCUUCUGAAAUGUACAGGAUGCAACCACUAACUGUGAAAACAUUUGGAACAACCCAGAGGCCUGAACCACCUUCCUCUGUUUCUUUCCAUUGGCUGUGGCAGCACCGACAGGGAGGAGGAAAAUGAUUUCCCUCAGUGGAGAAGACAGAGAAUGGGGCAUUUCACAGGAAAACACUCGGCUCCCAGCCUUCUCAUGCUACAAUUGGUUUGCAUAAAUUCCAUCCUCUCCCCACCUUUCCCAACUAUUUUUCUUUCCAUGGCUAUAAAUAUUGUUCUGUAG